UACGUAUGGAGCAAGCGUUAUCCGGAUUUACUGGGUGUAAAGGGAGCGUAGACGGAUGAUCAAGUCUGAUGUGAAAGCCUGGGGCUCAACCCCGGAACUGCAUUGGAAACUGUUCAUCUUGAGUGCCGGAGAGGUAAGCGGAAUUCCUAGUGUAGCGGUGAAAUGCGUAGAUAUUAGGAGGAACACCAGUGGCGAAGGCGGCUUACUGGACGGUAACUGACGUUGAGGCUCGAAAGCGUGGGGAGCAAACAGG
rnacentral:rRNA from 1 species